rnacentral:rRNA from 1 species
UACGAAGGGGGCUAGCGUUGUUCGGAAUCACUGGGCGUAAAGCGCACGUAGGCGGAGUGAUAAGUCAGGUGUGAAAUCCCGGAGCUCAACGCCGGAACGGCGCUGGAUACUGUCAGGCUCGAGUCCGGGAGAGGGGGGUGGAAUUCCUGGUGUAGGGGUGAAAUCCGUAGAUAUUAGGAAGAACACCAGUGGCGAAGGCGGCCCACUGGUCCGUGGCUGACGAUGAGGUGCGAAAGCGUGGGGAGCAAACAGG